CCAUGGAGUGCUUGCAUCUGGGAAGCUCCAGCACCCCAACAGUGCUGUGACCGGGCCGGGCAGCGCAUGGACGCAGCGACCCAUUCUGCACAUUUCCCUACGCAGCUCUGAGUCACAGAGCACUGAGUCUGAAGUCAGAGGACCUGGGUUCCAAUUCCGCCGGUGGCAUAUACCUAAAUGACCUUGGGUACACAGUAAGUGCUUAAUAAGUGCUUGCUGAUGGAUUUGAUUGACUGCAUAACCCGGUGUUUAGCUGAGAUGUCUCCAGAGUCUUGCCAUAAACUGU